UCUCUCUCUCUCUCUCUCUCUCUCUCUCUCUCUCGCUUUCCAUCUUCCAUCUUCCAUCUUCUCUCUCUCUCGCUUCUCAUCUCUAUCUUUCAUCUACAAGUUCACUCCCGCCGGCAUUAGUUUGUUGAUCCACCUUCACCAAGCCGACAUCGCCGCCCACUCUCUUUCGAUCUCACCCUCGAUCUCGGUCAGUACAUGGAUAUCACCUCUCACAACCCCAAUAGCACCAGCAUGGAAAGAGUUCUAGGCAACCCUCCUCUCCUCUCAUUUCCUUUUCUUUCCCCUCAUACUCGCUCACACAGACCCUCACAAUCUCUCGCUCUCACUCUCGUGUUACCCUUACAAACUGUUUGUAGCAACAGCAGUAGCGACUUCCUACCGAUUCUCCCUCUGGCAUCCAGGUCUCAAGGAACAUUGAUCUGGUCUAUGGAGGAGGUAGCAUAGGCCUCAUGGGUUUGAUUUCACAAGCUGUUCAUGAUGGUGGUCGGCAUGUCAUCGGUUAUUCCCAAGACACUCAUGCCUCAAGAGGUAUGUCUCUCUGCUACACCCCCAAAAAGUCUUAAGCCUUUUCUUAUUUAAGGUAUGUCUCUCUGCUACACCCCUAAAAAGUCUUAAGCCUUUUCUUAUUUCAUUAACUAAUUGAAUAAAAAUAAAAAUAAAAACCCAUUAAACUAUUGUCAUUUCUCUUUUUCCAUUUUUUUUUCUGGUUUUUGUUUUGGGUUAGAGGGGGUUUGGAGGUAGUAGUUCUUUUUCAUGGAUUAGGUUUGGUUGUUUUGUUAUUUUCUCAUCUUCCUCUCUUUCUUUUCAAACAUUUUCUUUUUCUUUCUUUUUGUCUAGCUACUUUAUUUUCCUUUUGUAUCACCUCCCUUUAAUAUCGUUUUCAGGAGUUU